UUCACUUUGAUAUACAAGUGCUUUGGAUUACAAGCAUAUUUCCCGAAUAAAUUAUGCUUGCAAACCAAGGUUUUAUGGCACAGAGAUAUAGAAGCCAGGUGUGGAAGUGCAUACAUGUAAUCUCAUCACUCUAGGAGGUUGAGGCAAGAUGAUCACAAGUUCAAACCCAGCCUUGGUUAAUGAGACCCUGACUCAAAACAAAAAAGGGCGAGGAAAUGUAGAGUUCAGUGGGAAGGCUCUGGGUUGAAUCCCCAAAACAUAUAUACUGCCAAAACCAAAAUAUACACACACAGUUUUUUAAAAUCAGGAUAUAUUUGCAAUACAUAAUUAUCACAUUCAUCUGGGGGAAUUGAUACAUGUACGUAUUGUAUCUUAAUCAUUUUUUCCCAGUGCUAGGGCUCAAAUCCAGGGCCUCCUCACCCAUGCUAGGCAAGCACCAAGCAAAACACAGAUCAUACUUUGGUUGUGAACACACUGCAAUUUUGCCAUCAUGAGAAGUUCCUCAAACUGCUACCAAGUACUCGUCAUGUGGUGUAGACCAGAUCAGAGAAAUGCAAGGCCAGUGCCAGCCUCCUAGUAAACACAGACAGCCAUGUGCCUCCCGGCACAUUAACACCUUCACUUAAGGAUCUGAAGGCAAGUUCCAUUUUGCUUCCUAGAGGGUGAUUUCUGAUAAAGAAAUAAACCAGGCUUUCCUUCCUCCACUCCUGACCCUUGUACUUCACUGCUGACUUUAUCAGUGAUCCUGUUCUUUGCCAGUGUGAUGAAGCAACAGCACUGAUGAGCUUAACAUGCAGGAAGCAUCUGCAAAUGUUUGUCAAUUGAACGCUUGAUUUGCCAUGUUCCCAUGACUUUCCAUAAUCAGGCAGGGCCUGAGUUUUUUCAGGCAUGAUUGAUUAUCCUCGACUUCCAGUUUGACCCAUGGUUUUCAUUUAGGUCUUAGAGGUUUUGUGGUUUCAAUCUUUGGUAUUAUUUUUGUUUUAGAGGUAAAACAUUACAUCUUCACUGCAGAACAUUGUUGACUACAUUUAGAUGCCUUUUUUUUUUUUUGGUACCAGAGAUUGAACUCAGGUCCUUGUGCUUACAAGGCAAGCGGCAGAACCACUGAGCCAAAUCCCUGGCCCCUGUUGACUACAUUUAGAUAUAAGAAUUUGGACUUGCAUGUAAACUUCAAGCUUUUCUUUUUGUACUGGGCAUUGAACUUGGGUCCGUGUGCUUGUGAGGCAGGCACUGAGCUAAAAUCCCCGGCCCCUAGCUUUUCUUUUUUUUUGAGACAGGGUCGCAUUAUGUAGUUCAGGCUGGCCUCGACUCACUAGGUAGCCCAGGUUGGCCUGGAACCUUCAAACUCUUGGUAAUCUUCCUGACUCGGGCUCCUGAGUGCUGUGAUUACAGGCAGUUGCCAAAGCAUACACUUUUCAUGGUACUAUUUCUGUGAACUUUCCUCUGCCAGGGGUGGGGGAACACUACAUAUUUAUCUGCUUCACUUACCAUGUUAAUUGUCACAAGAAAAAAGAAAAUGCUGAGCUUGACUUAAUUAGCAGAGUCCAAAGGCAAAGUCCAAAAGGGUACAGCCAGGGUCUCCCAGGGAGCUGGCGCACCUGGUCCGUGUGGGGAGGAGGGGUACAGGAAGCCAAGGAAGAGGGCUGCCCAGGGCCCACCUUGGGAGGAUCAUGUGACUCACUGGCUGGACAAAGGCGGAAGGACCACGAGCAAAAUGCUCUAGCUAAGCCUCUAAACUGCUCUGGCUCAGCCUCUCAGGGUGCUGAGAUCACAGACAUGUAGCACCAUGCCCAGCUUCAAUGCCUUUUCUCAUGAGGAAACUGAGGCCGAAGAAGAGAAACGGCUACAAGUGUCACAGACCACAGAGCCCAGGUCUCCCUGUCCACCCUGUUUCCAAGUAGCCUUCCUUCUGCUGACGGUACCUGAGUCUUCCUCCAAGGAACCACUUGUUAUGGUUUCGAUCUAGAUGUCCCCAGAAAGCCUCAGGUGCUCAAAGGCGGAGCUUUUGGAAGGUGACUGGAUUAUGAGGACACCAUAGCUGACCUGCUCGAGGAGGGGAGUGUGGUGGGAAGAGGAGGUCGUGGGGACAUGGCCUGGGUUUAUCUCCCUCCAUGGCUCCUCCCUUCUCUCUGCUUCCUGGCUGCUAAAACGUUAAGCAGCUCUCUUCUGCUCUUCCACCAAGCUGUUUCCUGUUUGGAGGCUGCCAACUGUGGACUGAGACAUCUAAACUGUGAGCCAAAAUAAACUUGUCCUCCAUUAA